rnacentral:tRNA from 1 species
GCGGGUGUAGUUCAAUGGUAGAACAUCAGCUUCCCAAGCUGAUAACGCGGGUUCGAUUCCCGUCACCCGCU